GGGGUUGUGGCUCAGUGGUAGAGCACUUGCCUUGCAUGCAUGAGGCCCCUGGGUUCAAUCCUCAGCCCCA
rnacentral:tRNA from 1 species